rnacentral:rRNA from 1 species
GAUGAACGCUGGCGGCGUGCCUAAUACAUGCAAGUCGAGCGAACGGACGAGAAGCUUGCUUCUCUGAUGUUAGCGGCGGACGGGUGAGUAACACGUGGAUAAUCUACCUAUAAGACUGGGAUAACUUCGGGAAACCGGAGCUAAUACCGGAUAAUAUUUUGAACCGCAUGGUUCAAAAGUGAAAGACGGUCUUGCUGUCACUUAUAGAUGGAUCCGCGCUGCAUUAGCUAGUUGGUAAGGUAACGGCUUACCAAGGCAACGAUGCAUAGCCGACCUGAGAGGGUGAUCGGCCACACUGGAACUGAGACACGGUCCAGACUCCUACGGGAGGCAGCAGUAGGGAAUCUUCCACAAUGGGCGAAAGCCUGACGGAGCAACGCCGCGUGAGUGAUGAAGGUCUUCGGAUCGUAAAACUCUGUUAUUAGGGAAGAACAUAUGUGUAAGUAACUGUGCACAUCUUGACGGUACCUAAUCAGAAAGCCACGGCUAACUACGUG